AGCGUCCGCCCCCCGCUACCCGUUUGCGGAGCGUGCGGGGGACCGGCCGUCUAUCAAAAUGUCAUAACGACUCUCGGCAACGGAUAUCUCGGCUCUCGCAUCGAUGAAGAACGUAGCGAAAUGCGAUACUUGGUGUGAAUUGCAGAAUCCCGUGAACCAUCGAGUCUUUGAACGCAAGUUGCGCCCGAAGCCAUUAGGCCGAGGGCACGUCUGCCUG
rnacentral:rRNA from 1 species